rnacentral:rRNA from 1 species
GACGAACGCUGGCGGCGUGCUUAACACAUGCAAGUCGAACGGAAAGGCCCUGCUUGCAGGGUACUCGAGUGGCGAACGGGUGAGUAACACGUGGGUGAUCUGCCCUGCACUUCGGGAUAAGCCUGGGAAACUGGGUCUAAUACCGGAUAGGAGCCAUUUUUAGUGUGAUGGUUGGAAAGUUUUUUCGGUGUAGGAUGAGCUCGCGGCCUAUCAGCUUGUUGGUGGGGUAAUGGCCUACCAAGGCGGCGACGGGUAGCCGGCCUGAGAGGGUGGACGGCCACAUUGGGACUGGGAGACGGCCCAGACUCCUACGGGAGGCAGCAGUGGGGAAUGUUGCACAAUGGGCGCAAGCCUGAUGCAGCGACGCCGCGUGGGGGAUGACGGCCUUCGGGUUGUAAACUCCUUUCGCUAGGGACGAAGCUUUUUGUGACGGUACCUAGAUAAGAAGCACCGGCUAACUACGUG